CAUAGGUUAAUGAGGCGAACCGGGGGAACUGAAACAUCUAAGUACCCCGAGGAAAAGAAAUCAACCGAGAUUCCCCCAGUAGCGGCGAGCGAACGGGGAGCAGCCCAGAGCCUGAAUCAGUGUGUGUGUUAGUGGAAGCGUCUGGAAAGGCGCGCGAUACAGGGUGACAGCCCCGUACACAAAAAUGCACAUAUUGUGAGCUCGAUGAGUAGGGCGGGACACGUGGUAUCCUGUCUGAAUAUGGGGGGACCAUCCUCCAAGGCUAAAUACUCCUGACUGACCGAUAGUGAACCAGUACCGUGAGGGAAAGGCGAAAAGAACCCCGGCGAGGGGAGUGAAAAAGAACCUGAAACCGUGUACGUACAAGCAGUGGGAGCCUCUUUUAUGGGGUGACUGCGUACCUUUUGUAUAAUGGGUCAGCGACUUAUAUUCUGUAGCAAGGUUAACCGAAUAGGGGAGCCGAAGGGAAACCGAGUCUUAACUGGGCGUUAAGUUGCAGGGUAUAGACCCGAAACCCGGUGAUCUAGCCAUGGGCAGGUUGAAGGUUGGGUAACACUAACUGGAGGACCGAACCGACUAAUGUUGAAAAAUUAGCGGAUGACUUGUGGCUGGGGGUGAAAGGCCAAUCAAACCGGGAGAUAGCUGGUUCUCCCCGAAAGCUAUUUAGGUAGCGCCUCGUGAAUUCAUCUCCGGGGGUAGAGCACUGUUUCGGCAAGGGGGUCAUCCCGACUUACCAACCCGAUGCAAACUGCGAAUACCGGAGAAUGUUAUCACGGGAGACACACGGCGGGUGCUAACGUCCGUCGUGAAGAGGGAAACAACCCAGACCGCCAGCUAAGGUCCCAAAGUCAUGGUUAAGUGGGAAACGAUGUGGGAAGGCCCAGACAGCCAGGAUGUUGGCUUAGAAGCAGCCAUCAUUUAAAGAAAGCGUAAUAGCUCACUGGUCGAGUCGGCCUGCGCGGAAGAUGUAACGGGGCUAAACCAUGCACCGAAGCUGCGGCAGCGACGCUUAUGCGUUGUUGGGUAGGGGAGCGUUCUGUAAGCCUGUGAAGGUGUGCUGUGAGGCAUGCUGGAGGUAUCAGAAGUGCGAAUGCUGACAUAAGUAACGAUAAAGCGGGUGAAAAGCCCGCUCGCCGGAAGACCAAGGGUUCCUGUCCAACGUUAAUCGGGGCAGGGUGAGUCGACCCCUAAGGCGAGGCCGAAAGGCGUAGUCGAUGGGAAACAGGUUAAUAUUCCUGUACUUGGUGUUACUGCGAAGGGGGGACGGAGAAGGCUAUGUUGGCCGGGCGACGGUUGUCCCGGUUUAAGCGUGUAGGCUGGUUUUCCAGGCAAAUCCGGAAAAUCAAGGCUGAGGCGUGAUGACGAGGCACUACGGUGCUGAAGCAACAAAUGCCCUGCUUCCAGGAAAAGCCUCUAAGCAUCAGGUAACAUCAAAUCGUACCCCAAACCGACACAGGUGGUCAGGUAGAGAAUACCAAGGCGCUUGAGAGAACUCGGGUGAAGGAACUAGGCAAAAUGGUGCCGUAACUUCGGGAGAAGGCACGCUGAUAUGUAGGUGAAGUCCCUUGCGGAUGGAGCUGAAAUCAGUCGAAGAUACCAGCUGGCUGCAACUGUUUAUUAAAAACACAGCACUGUGCAAACACGAAAGUGGACGUAUACGGUGUGACGCCUGCCCGGUGCCGGAAGGUUAAUUGAUGGGGUCAGCGCAAGCGAAGCUCUUGAUCGAAGCCCCGGUAAACGGCGGCCGUAACUAUAACGGUCCUAAGGUAGCGAAAUUCCUUGUCGGGUAAGUUCCGACCUGCACGAAUGGCGUAAUGAUGGCCAGGCUGUCUCCACCCGAGACUCAGUGAAAUUGAACUCGCUGUGAAGAUGCAGUGUACCCGCGGCAAGACGGAAAGACCCCGUGAACCUUUACUAUAGCUUGACACUGAACAUUGAGCCUUGAUGUGUAGGAUAGGUGGGAGGCUUUGAAGUGUGGACGCCAGUCUGCAUGGAGCCGACCUUGAAAUACCACCCUUUAAUGUUUGAUGUUCUAACGUGGACCCGUGAUCCGGGUUGCGGACAGUGUCUGGUGGGUAGUUUGACUGGGGCGGUCUCCUCCUAAAGAGUAACGGAGGAGCACGAAGGUUGGCUAAUCCUGGUCGGACAUCAGGAGGUUAGUGCAAUGGCAUAAGCCAGCUUGACUGCGAGCGUGACGGCGCGAGCAGGUGCGAAAGCAGGUCAUAGUGAUCCGGUGGUUCUGAAUGGAAGGGCCAUCGCUCAACGGAUAAAAGGUACUCCGGGGAUAACAGGCUGAUACCGCCCAAGAGUUCAUAUCGACGGCGGUGUUUGGCACCUCGAUGUCGGCUCAUCACAUCCUGGGGCUGAAGUAGGUCCCAAGGGUAUGGCUGUUCGCCAUUUAAAGUGGUACGCGAGCUGGGUUUAGAACGUCGUGAGACAGUUCGGUCCCUAUCUGCCGUGGGCGCUGGAGAACUGAGGGGGGCUGCUCCUAGUACGAGAGGACCGGAGUGGACGCAUCACUGGUGUUCGGGUUGUCAUGCCAAUGGCACUGCCCGGUAGCUAAAUGCGGAAGAGAUAAGUGCUGAAAGCAUCUAAGCACGAAACUUGCCCCGAGAUGAGUUCUCCCUGAC
rnacentral:rRNA from 1 species